rnacentral:rRNA from 1 species
AACGAACGCUGGCGGCAUGCCUAACACAUGCAAGUCGAACGAGACCUUCGGGUCUAGUGGCGCAGGGGUGCGUAACGCGUGGGAACCUGCCCUUAGGUUCGGAAUAACUCCCCGAAAGGGGUGCUAAUACCGGAUAAUGUCUUCGGACCAAAGAUUUAUCGCCUUUGGAUGGGCCCGCGUUGGAUUCGCUAGUUGGUAGGGUAAAAGCCUACCAAGGCGACGAUCCAUAGCUGGUCGGAGAGGAUGCUAAGCCACACUGGGACUGAGACACGGACCAGACUCCUACGGGAGGCAGCAGUGGGGAAUAUUGGACAAUGGGCGAAAGCCUGAUAAAGCAAUGCCGCGUGAGUGAUGAAGGCCUUAGGGUUGUAAAGCUCUUUUACCCGGGAUGAUAAUGACAGUACCGGGAGAAUAAGCACCGGCUAACUACGUG